rnacentral:lncRNA from 1 species
AAAAAAAAAGAAUUCAGCAAAUCUCCUAGGAUUGUUGAGCGUACUAUUCAUCAACCACGCUCAUUAAUCUCAAGAAUGUCAACAGCAAUUAAUGCUCCCUCAAUAAUUCUUCAACCACGCUCAUUAAUCUCAAGAAUGUCAACAGCAAUUAAUGCUCCCUCAAUAAUUCUUCAACCACGCUCAACAAUUUAGCCGUACUAUUCAUCAUCCUUUCACACUAAUCAGCUCUCCUUAAGUUCAGUAUAAAUUCAUCCUCAUUCACCUUCUUCAUCACAGCAACAAAUCUACUCCUUCCAUCGAGAAAUCACCAAGCAUAAUCUCUUCAUUCCCAUUCCACAAACGUUCCUAGCAAAAAGAGGAAAGACUGCACUGCUCUUCAUCAUUCUCUGCCAAAGCAUUUUCAAGUAUCAGUUCAUUCAAACAAUAACCAACCAACAAAACCAUUCAAGGUAUUUCAUGCCAUCUCAGUUCACUAUCUUCAUAUAUGCAUUUCACUUUCCUCACUUCAUGUUUUAGAAAUUCAGAAAUAUAGGAUGAAGUUUAUUACAGAGAAACAUAGCAAAACACAUAUGCGUACAUGAUUAGCAUUCAACAGAAAUAGUUUAAUUCAUACAUUGAUACCUUUAUACUGCCUUUGUACUUAGAACCAAGUCAUGAGAAUUUCCAUCAGCAACAAAACGAAUUGAAAUACAAUAGUAGAGAGAUAGAACAAUAACUUAGCUUUUAGAAAGGCAUCGAACGCGGCCCUGCACAGUCGAGCCGCAACAACGGCAACUUCCUUGGCCUCAUCGGAGCCCGAGAACGACAGCAGCGACUCGCGGGGCUACUGCCCUGUUCAGUCGGACCGAGAGACGUCAAGUGGCGGCGACUCGCGAGGCUACCAGAGGGACGCGAGGACGAUGGUGCUGCUCACCGGUCUCGCUGCGACGACGGCAGAUUUGUGACAGCAGAAGGCCGACUCCAUGAACAGCAGCAGUCGGCGGUUUCAGGCGAGAAGCUCGCCUUGGUGCUCCACGAACAGCAGCAGUCGGCGGAGCUCUGCAACAGGAGAAGCAGCAGCCGCGACUCCGGGCGAGUAGCAGCAGUUCCAGACGGCUGACUCGGCGGCUUUAGGCGACGCGGCGCUCGCCGGAACCGUUGGCGGUGGAACUCGUGAGGAGGCGGCUUGAUUGUUGCGAGAAUAGAAAGAGAGAGAUGUAGCAGCGUUUUU